rnacentral:rRNA from 1 species
AUGGCUCAGGAUGAACGCUGGCGGCGUGCCUAACACAUGCAAGUCGAACGGGAACCUUACAGUGGAGACUUCGGUCAAAGCAGUAAGAAUUCUAGUGGCGGAUGGGUGAGUAACGCGUGGGUAACCUACCUACAAGAAUUGGAUAACAGCAAGAAAUUGUUGCUAAUACAAUAUAAGCUUACAGUAUCGCAUGAUACAGUGAGAAAAGAUUUAUCGCUUGUAGAUGGACCCGCGUUUGAUUAGCCAGUUGGUGGGGUAGAGGCCUACCAAAGCGACGAUCAAUAGCCGGCCUGAGAGGGUGAACGGCCACAUUGGGACUGAGACACGGCCCAAACUCCUACGGGAGGCAGCAGUGGGGAAUAUUGCACAAUGGGGGAAACCCUGAUGCCAGCAACGCCGCGUGAGUGAAGAAGUAUUUCGGUAUGUAAAGCUCUAUCGAUAGGGAAUAAGAUGAAGGUACCUAAGUAAGAAGCCCCGGCUAACUACGUGCCAGCCGCAGC